UACGUAGGUGGCAAGCGUUGUCCGGAUUUACUGGGCGUAAAGAGCGCGCAGGCGGUCGUUCAAGUCGCGUGUGAAAGCCCCCGGCUCAACUGGGGAGGGUCACGCGAUACUGAUCGACUCGAAGGCAGGAGAGGGUAGUGGAAUUCCCGGUGUAGUGGUGAAAUGCGUAGAUAUCGGAAGGAACAUCAGUGGCGAAGGCAGCUCGCUGGGACGGUACUGACGCUGAGGCGCGAAAGCGUGGGGAGCAAACAGG
rnacentral:rRNA from 1 species